GCAGGGAGCUGAGGAGUUGCUGGCUAGGACCCAGCUAGCGCUACGGCUAGCAAGGCCUCAUCCCCAACGCUGGGCAACUGACGCAUGACUACACAAGCCCAGAGCUGCUUGAAGGCUUUGGGUGCAGGGGAGUGGUGGGAUCCAGGGUUGAUCCCCGGCAACAGAUAUGGGAGUGUGUGUCACCACAGCCCUCUCCAGCCCUCCAGGGCUGAGCCUCGCAGACGUCAAGUGUUAAUUUAGGGUUCCUGCCGAGCGGGAGCUUGUCAGCGGCGAGGCUUGGAGAAGGAGAGAGGCAAGGUCUUUAAGAUCAUGGACAUUAGCAGAGAAGACCAGAGAAGAUCAUUUUGAAAAACGUGAGA